UGUGCGUUUAUUCCUGACCAUUCAGAACUUGGUAGUUAGUUCCGCCAUGUGUGACCCCUAAACUGUGUGACCCCCCUUGAACUGCGCCCUCUCGUACACUGGGUCUGUGCUGUCGACUCUGCUUCCACCCCAAGCCGUCACUCGCUCUGCCUUUGGCUUGGAGCCUGGGAAGACCGCCAGCUCUCGGGAUGGUUCCUCCUUCAGGGCCCCUGGCUGAGAAGUCUGCUUGCAGAAGAAAACGUUCAGCUGGGGCCAUGGCCUUGCCUGAUAGUCGGCUGUUGACCCAGAGCACCCCUAUCAGUCAUUCGCACGCAGAUGCCCUUUGGGGGAAGGGAGGGAGGCGUUGCCUUGAGGCGCCAGCCUUUCACUGUGGGAUGACUUUUCAGCAUCUGAAAAGACAGAGCUCGGCCAAGACAGGCCUUCGGUAGGCUUUGUGACAAACAGGAUUUUAAAAGAAAACAAAGGGCCUGUAUGUCAGACCAACUUUGUCUCCAGAGCACCGGCGAUCAUAGAAACUUCUGACACAAUAGAGUGAGUGACUCAACCAAGAUUUCACCAGCAGCAAGGCUGACAGCAGAUCCUGGGGAAAGAAGUGUUCGAGUCCUGAGUGGAGUGAAGGCGACCAGGGAGGAGAAGCUGGCAGAGCUGAAUGAAGGAGCCGCUGACAGGAGAAGUCAGGGAUGGGUGAAUGGGCCUGGGUGAGGGACCUCAGCGUGGUUAGAGGACCGUGGGAGGGGGCUAGCUGGGCGGAGGAGGACAGAGGAGGCAAAGGGAAAGUGUACAGUUUGCCCUCAUAAUUGCCGCUGUUGUCCUGUGUCGUUUACUGUGUGAUCUGAGUUUUCCCUUGUCCCUGCUGUGUCUUGGUUACCAUCUGUGAAAUACAGAUUGUAAUGCUAUCCCCCCUCACAGUAUUGCUGUGAGUGGUAAAUGAGUUCAUUUAUUCCAAGUAUGUUUUCAAAGUGCUCACACAGAAGACUCAAUAAAUGUUAGUUACGUUUCA